GACGAACGCUGGCGGCGUGCUUAACACAUGCAAGUCGAACGAAGUGGCGAACGGGUGAGUAAUACGUGGGUAACCUGCCCUCCUUUGUGGGAUAAGCCUUGGAAACGGGGUCUAAUACCGAAGAAAGGGGGAUGGGCUCGCGGCCUAUCAGCUUGUUGGUGGGGUGAUGGCCUACCAAGGCGGUGACUGGUAGCCGGCCUGAGAGGGUGACCGACCACAUGGGGACUGAGAUACGGCCCAGACUCCUACGGGAGGCAGCAGUGGGGGAUAUUGCACAAUCGGCGAAAGCCUGAUGCAGAGCCGCCGCGGUAAUUC
rnacentral:rRNA from 1 species